UCGCGUUGUGUAGCGGUUGUGUUGGACUAUGAGUUGUGAUUUUUCCUGUUUAAAAACGCAAGCUGGAUCAUGUGAGCGUCCUCGAACAGUCACAGCUGCCAGGGAAGAUGCCUGCGCAACAUUUGUGCUCUGCUUCUUGGUGUAGAAACUAUUCGAGUGUCCGAACGCCUCGUACCCGAUAUCUGGUCAACGACUGCCGAGAGCCACUGAGCUCCAGUUCCCAGUAGCAGUCCUUGCCAGAGGCAGUCCGACAUUAUCAGGCUUCUUCAAGCAAAUUCUGGAGCAAUGUUAAUGUCAUCCUGUGUACAUCUUGCUUGCAUAACCGUAUGUCGCACAAUAAAAUACUUCAUGUGACAAAAACAA